rnacentral:lncRNA from 1 species
GGCCCGUUUCAUAAAACUUUUGACUUGCAACUGUAACAUCUCCCAUAUCUAUGGCAAAUCUUGUUAUUGCAAUGACAACUUGUCAUAGUUGCAAAUAUCCGUUUCAUAAAAGCAAUGACAAAUUGUUAUCGUAAAUAAAAAUAAUUAAAUGAAAAAUAGUUCGUGAACGAGCCUGAUAUGCAGCUAACAGCCGGUUUUUUUCUUCACACACGUCGUCUGCGAGAAAUUUUGAUGGUGACAGAAUUUACGGAAAAUUUGAAUCGGAGAUAUGGAGACCAGCAGCGUGGCAGCAGGAGCAAAUUUUGGCCGUGAUAAGGCGUAUACCACCAUCAACAAUGCUGCAAUUGCAGUCACUACCACCACUGCUGCCACCACUAUCAGUGCUGCUGAUGCCACCACCACCAAGUCUGCCACUGCCAUCACCAUUGCCACCGCCACUACCAAGACCACUCCUGACACAAAGCCCCCAAGUCCUCAACUGACCAGAUAUUGCAGCUGGAGAAGGAUAGACCAGGAACUUCAAAGCCAGGGCUUUUUGGUCUCCUACAAUAAGAAAAAUGCCAAGGGCCCAUCUAAUGAACUUCUAGAAUAUUUGGCCACAGUUGUAGAAAUGCAGAGACUAACAUACUGCCACAGGUGAGGCUUUGUCCGCAGUUCCGGAAAGACAAGCCAUGCCAAAAUCAACGACUGAAGGGUUUGGAGCGCCAGGCAAAGAGCCUAGAAAUGUGAUUUAACCGUACUUCAAUCACAUGAACAGUAGCAGGAGCAAAAACAGCAGCAAACACACAGGAGAUGUAAUGACUACAUUGACCAAUACCAACAACUACAGCAGCAUCAACAAUAUCUGCAAAAACCACACUGGCAACCUCAACAACAUCAAGAUGUUCAACAACCACUUCGGGAAUUCAACAAACACAUCAGCAGAAA